rnacentral:lncRNA from 1 species
GGUCUCCGGUAUGCAUGUUAGCACAUGUGGAAACCCUACCUCCUAGGAGAUCAAUUUGGUCUCAAACCUUACAAAUUAGCUAACCCAAUUUGAUGUGUAUUUGGGUUAGAUCGUACCACCUAGAGGUAGUCUAAAGAGGGGCACCUAAAUGCUUAUCCACGCCAACAACCAAGAGUCCAAGUUGUGAAGGACUCUUGGCGCACUUUUGUGAAGAGCACACAUACUCUCUAUUUUGGCAUGCAAAAGGACCAAGAGUCUCUG